CAUUUGUCACUGUCUGGUAAGCUAACAAGCACAUACUCACAACAGUCGCUUUUCCAUUGGACAAAUGCACAAAAUUUGACCGAUAUUUACUCAAUGUCGAAAAAACAGAAGUGCAUAAUGUCAAUUUUUCUGUUAAAU